UAAAAUUCUGUUAUUAGGGAAGAACAAGUGCGUAGGUAACUAUGCGCACCUUGACGGUACCUAAUCAGAAAGCCACGGCUAACUACGUGCCAGCAGCCGCGGUAAUACGUAGGUGGCAAGCGUUAUCCGGAAUUAUUGGGCGUAAAGCGCGCGUAGGCGGUUUUUUAAGUCUGAUGUGAAAGCCCACGGCUCAACCGUGGAGGGUCAUUGGAAACUGGAAAACUUGAGUGCAGAAGAGGAAAGUGGAAUUCCAUGUGUAGCGGUGAAAUGCGCAGAGAUAUGGAGGAACACCAGUGGCGAAGGCGACUUUCUGGUCUGCAACUGACGCUGAUGUGCGAAAGCGUGGGGAUCAAACAGGAUUAGAUACCCUGGUAGUCCACGCCGUAAACGAUGAGUGCUAAGUGUUAGGGGGUUUCCGCCCCUUAGUGCUGCAGCUAACGCAUUAAGCACUCCGCCUGGGGAGUACGGCCGCAAGGCUGAAACUCAAAGGAAUUGACGGGGACCCGCACAAGCGGUGGAGCAUGUGGUUUAAUUCGAAGCAACGCGAAGAACCUUACCAAAUCUUGACAUCCUUUGACCGCUCUAGAGAUAGAGUCUUCCCCUUCGGGGGACAAAGUGACAGGUGGUGCAUGGUUGUCGUCAGCUCGUGUCGUGAGAUGUUGGGUUAAGUCCCGCAACGAGCGCAACCCUUAAGCUUAGUUGCCAGCAUUAAGUUGGGCACUCUAAGUUGACUGCCGGUGACAAACCGGAGGAAGGUGGGGAUGACGUCAAAUCAUCAUGCCCCUUAUGAUUUGGGCUACACACGUGCUACAAUGGACAGUACAAAGGGCAGCGAAACCGCGAGGUCAAGCAAAUCCCAUAAAGCUGUUCUCAGUUCGGAUUGUAGUCUGCAACUCGACUACAUGAAGCUGGAAUCGCUAGUAAUCGUAGAUCAGCAUGCUACGGUGAAUACGUUCCCGGGUCUUGUACACACCGCCCGUCACACCACGAGAGUUCGUAACACCCGAAGCCGGUGGAGUAACCUUUUAGGAGCUAGCCGUCGAAG
rnacentral:rRNA from 1 species